GACGAACGCUGGCGGCGUGCUUAACACAUGCAGGUCGAACGGAAAGGCCCUGCUUUUGUGGGGUGCUCGAGUGGCGAACGGGUGAGUAACACGUGAGUAACCUGCCCUUGACUUUGGGAUAACUUCAGGAAACUGGGGCUAAUACCGGAUAGGAGCUCCUGCUGCAUGGUGGGGGUUGGAAAGUUUCGGCGGUUGGGGAUGGACUCGCGGCUUAUCAGCUUGUUGGUGGGGUAGUGGCUUACCAAGGCUUUGACGGGUAGCCGGCCUGAGAGGGUGACCGGCCACAUUGGGACUGAGAUACGGCCCAGACUCCUACGGGAGGCAGCAGUGGGGAAUAUUGCACAAUGGGCGGAAGCCUGAUGCAGCAACACCGCGUGCGGGAUGACGGCCUUCGGGUUGUAAACCGCUUUCGCCUGUGACGAAGCGUGAGUGACGGUAAUGGGUAAAGAAGCACCGGCUAACUACGUG
rnacentral:rRNA from 1 species